AAGGUGCUCAACUUCCACGGUACCCUUUUUAGAUAUGGGAGUCCUUAGAAGAGAGGUCUACCUAGUUCCAUUUUCUUUAAUUAUCCUACCCUCCUCCAUAAUCAUCCUUUUCAAAAAGAAAGAAUAUCUCUCUCCUUUUCGAACCUUAUAAUAGUGGUUUGCCCAGAGAGACAAUUCAAGAAUGCAUAGCUCAUGAGGGUAGGUCCUGGGACUGCAAGCAGUAAGUACAGUUAAAUAACUUUGAAGGGGGCAUGGCCUUAUUUCAUUCUAGUGACAAAACAAGGCAUAGCCCUGUGUCUUUAUCUGUUUAUCUACGCUUUUCCCUUUCCAUCUGUCUUAGAAAUAGAAUUCCAAAGUGAGCUGGUUGUCAUGGAGAUGAGUAUAAAGCACUUUUGUUUGAACUGAAAAAUAAAGUUACAUAUUUCUGACAGAAAAUAAGUCUGAUAACUGUUUGUUUUGACAACAAUGACUGGUUUUCCAUUUCAGUUAAAUAGUAAACAUUUCCCAUAAAUCAAAUUAAUCGAAUCUGCUCCAAGGUUUUGACCAAAAUAUAUUUAAAGCACAAAUACAUAGAAUAUACUGAAAUAUGGAUCCUUUGCAAUUCUUUUGGAUGAAACACACAUACAUGUCAACCUAAAAAUGUUCAGUGAUGCAUAGCUUUCAAACUGAAUGUCCAUCCAAAGGAAACCAGAUCAAUGAAUUCUUGUAAAUUCAUACAAUGUAAUAAUGUCAUCCGUUAAAAUGCAUGAAGAGACUUACAUGUAUCUUCAGCUACAUCAAAAAUGUGAUAAAGCGGGAAUUCACUUGGUGGCUCAUGGCUCGGCACUUAGCGAACCCAACUAGGAUCUAUGAGGACGCAGGGUGCCUCCCUGGCUUCGCUCAGUGGGUUAAGGAUCCAUCGUUGCCAUAAGCUGUGGUGUAGGUCACAGAUGUGACUCAGAUCCCAUGUUGCUGUGGCUGUGAUAGAAAGAAACUUUCAAUCCAUCAUGAAAAAGAACAGCAGCAUACAUUCUAAAGUAAAGAUUAACAUAAGAUAGUUCGCUGAAUUCUGUGGUAUUAAUUAAAAAUGCUGAGGAAUCCCAAGAGUGCAGUACUAUGAUUUGACCACGUCCAGUGUCCAAUGUUGGGCAAAUUCUUUCUUAUGCCCGAGACUUGUUUGCAUUCAUUGAUUUACACAAGGCUAGAGAAACAAACCUGGGAUGCGAGUGAAGAGAUGGAAGUAACAUGCCACCCAUAUCAAACUUUUAAGUUGAUAAUUACACCAGAUGGACUAUAUGUGUGUGUGCUCAGGUCUGGGGGCAACAGAGCCAGACUUUCAAAUAAUUUUAAAAAUAAAACAAACAAAAAAUUCCCACAGUUUUAUACAAACUCUUCCAGAAAACAGAAAAUACUUCACAGGUUAUUUAAUGAGACCAGAUAACAUUGACAGUAAUAUCUGACAAAGACAUUAUAAGAAAAAAAUUCAGAUCAAUUUCUCUAAUAACGUAUGCUCAAAAAGUUCAUAAGUAAAUUAUUAGCUGAUGAAUCCAGCAGUACAUAAAAAGGAUAAUUCACCCAAAUAGGGAUCUGAAUGUGGACUUAAUAUUAAAAAACUCAUAAAUAUAACUUACCUUAUUAAGAGAAAAAAAAUCAUGAUCAUCUUAAUAGAUGUAGAAAAAGUAUUUGAGGAGGUCUCUGGUGGUGCAGCAGGUGAAGGAUCUGGCAUUGCUGCAACCAUGGCAUAGGUAACAGCUGCAGCUCGGAUUUGAUAGCUGGCCUGGGAACUUGCUUAUGCCAAGGGUGCAGCCAGAAUGCAUAAAUAAAUAAAGUAUACAAUCAGUGGUUUCUGAAGGUAUAUGCAACACCAACAAUCAAUUAAAAAAAGAUGUACAACACCAACAAUCAAUUAAAAAAUAAAGUAUACAAUUCAGUGGUAUGUCCAUAGGUAUGUGCAACACCAACAAUCAAUUUAAAAAGAAAAAGCAUUUGUUAAAAGUGAAUAUCUAUUUAUAGUUUAGAAGUUACAAAUUUGAUACAGAAUGAUCUGCUUUGAAUCUAAUAUAUAGUAUCUACAACCUACAGAAAACAUUAUACUUAAUGGUGAAUUAUUGAAAAAAAAAAUUCCUAUGAGAACAGCCAUAAGACAAGGAUGCUUAAUAUCACCAUAUCAAUUCAAUAUCACACUAGAGGUCCUAGUCAGUGAAAUAAGGCAAGAAAAUAAAAUAAAAGAUAAUAGAUUUGGAAAAGAAAUAAAAUUUCAUUGCUCCUGGAGAAUAUAAUUAUGUAUGAAUAAGCUCCAAAAGGAUACACAAACCACAAAAAGUGAACUUGGCAAAGGUAUGUGUGUGUGCAUACACACACACACACAUACAUACUAUAUGUGUGUAUAUAUAUAUAUAUAUAUGUGCUAAUCUUUUCACGUUGUGUGUAUAUACACUAGCAACAAACUCUCAGAAGACAAAAGUUUUAAAAUAUUGCAAUUUUCAAAAGCAUAAAAAGUCAGAAGUGUGUGAAUCAAUUUAAUAAUUCAUGUGCCAUACCUCUUAGCUGUGGCUAGGAUUUCCACCAAUAGUAUGUUCAGUAAAUGUGGUGAGAUGGGCAUAUUUAUCUUACUCCUAAUCUUAGAGAAAAUGCUUUCAGCUUUUCACAAUUGAGUAUGAUGUCAGCUGUGGGCUUAUCAUACACAUCCUUAGUUAUGCUGAAGUACAAUUCCUCUAUAUCCAGUUUUUAUCAUAAAUGGCUGUUGAAUUUUGUCAAAAGCCUUUUCUACAUUGGUUGAGAUGAUCAUAGGAUUUUUAUGCUUUGAUUUGUUAAUGUGGUGCAUCACACUGAUUGAUUUUCAGGUAAUGAUCCAUCCUUGCAUUCCUGGUAUAGAUCCCACUUGAUCAUUGUACAUGAUCCUUUGAAUGUGUUAUUGAAUCAGUUUGCUGAUACUUUUCAAGGAUAUUUGCAUCUAUGUUCCUCAGUGUUAUUGGCCUGUAAUUUCCUUUUUUUUGUGAUGUCUUUGUCUGGUUUUGGUAUCAAGAUGACGCUGGUCUCAUAGAAUCAGUUUGGAAGCACUCCUUCCUCUGAAAUAUUUUUGACUAGUUUGAGAAGAAUAGGUGUUACCUCAUCUCUAAAUGUUUGGUGGAAUUCAUCUGUGAGUACGUUUGGUCUUGGACUUGUUUUGUUGGAAGUUUUUUUUUUUGGUUUUGUUUUUUUAAUUACUGUGAUUAUCUCUACCUUUCAAUUGGUACAUUGAGACCAUUGAUAUUCAAAACACUAUUGAUAUGGUUAUAUUACUAUCUACCACCUCUGUUACCAUUUUCUUUUUGCUGCCCUUCUUUGUGCCUAUUUUUGUCUUCCACUCUUUUUCGGCCCUUUGUGGUUUUAUCUGAUUAAAUAAUUAUAUAGGAGUUCCCGUCAUGGCUCAGGGGUUAACGAAUCCGACUAGGAACCACGAGGUUUUGGGUUCGAUCCCUGGCCCCGCUCAGAGAGUUAAGGAUCCAGCAUUGCCAUGAGCUGUGGUGCAGCUUGCAGACGCAGCUUGGAUCCUGCGUUAAUGUGGCUCUGGCAUAGACGGGCGGCUAUAGCUCUGAUUAGACCCCUAGCCUGGGAACCUCUACAUGCCAUGGGUGGGGCCCUAAAAAGAAAAAAAAAAAAAAAAUGAUAUAAUCUAGUUUUAUUCCAUUUUCUCCCUUUUUUUAGUAUAUGAGUAAUAUAUUAUUUUUUUUUUUUUUUUGCUCUUUUUAGUGGUUGCCCUAGGGUUUGCAAUACAUAUUUACAACUUAUACAAGUGCACUUUCAAAUAAUGCUGUAGCACUUCACAGGUAGUAUGAGUACCUUAUAAUAGCAAAAUAUAAAUUAUUCUAAUUUCUCCUUCCUGUCCCUUGGAUCACUGUUGUCAUUCAUUUCACUUACAUAUAAACAUUACACAGUUAGAUCAAUAAGGAAUAAGAAAAAUUAAAAUUUUUAUUUUAUUUUCACUUAUUCUUUUUCUGAUGCUUUUCCUUUCUUCAUGUAGUUUCAAGUUUCUGAAGUUUAUUAUUUUUCUUUUCUCUAAAAACUUACUUUUUAAUCAUUUUUUUCAAGGCAAGUCUACAGGAAAUGAAUUCCCUCAAUUAUUGUUUGCUUGAGAAAGAUUUUAUUUCUCCACUUUUGAAGGAUAAUUUUUCAACAUACAGAAUACUAGGUUUGUUUGUUUGUUUUCUCUCUUAAUUCUCUGAAUACUUUACUCCAUUCUCGUUUUGCAUGAUUUUGGAGAUCAGACAAGAUUGGACACAUUCAAAGUGGUAUGGCUGUAGACAUGGCUUGCAUGGUUUCUGAAGAAAAAGUGGAUACAAGUCUUAUUUUUGUUUCUCUUUGUUUUGAAGGAAAAAAAGUCCUAAUGGAAAAAUUCCCUUGAGAACAUGAAUCUUGAAUGAUGCAUGUAAAGAUGGGAGGAAAUUAGAUCAGCCAGAACAGAAGGGAGGAUAUUAAAGCAUAUGAGUGAAAAUAGAGUGGUGAGGAGAGGAGAAGGAGCAAAAGUAGAGGGUGUCUUUAAUAUGAUAUGCUGGAUACUUAUAUUUAAAAUAUUAAUGGAGCUUAUUGCUUACUCUAUAGUAGUAUCUUGCCUAAUAUUUCAAACUAAUAUAUGCUCACUAAAUAUUUACGGAAUAAGUGAGCUGACCAAUGAGCAUGCUAGUAAUUAAUUUAGGUCAUCAAAAAUAUGUCUGUAAUUCCCAGGCUGUUAUUUUAUUUUCUUGGAAAUAAUUUAAGAAGGGCAUUAUUUGCCUAUCUCAGUUGAAGAGCUGUAAACAGUAGCUGACCAGCUUUUUAGCAUUUGGGAAGGCAUUAAGGAAGAAUUGUAACUACUGCCAGAAAAUACAAUGUAUGAAACAAGGAGGAUUUGACCAGAUCAGUUCAUGUCAGACUAGAAACUGCCCUAAGGGCUACAAUACUUUUUUCACUGUCCUUUUCCUCGUCCAUAUCUUUUCCCUUCUACUUCGUUCUUCUUCCCUAUCUGUCUGACAAUUACUUUCUUCUUCUGUCUCUUGAUGAGUAUUCCUAGUAUUCUGGGUAUAUUUCUUCUCUCGCUGUAUUUCCUCCUUCCCUUUCUAUCUUUCUUUGUCGCUCUUUGCUGUUUCUCUACUAUCUCUUUCUAGUUUAUUUCUUUUCAUAUUCUUCACCUUUUCCCAUUUAUAUCCAUCAUUAUGUAGAAAUCAAAUGAAUUUUUUAAAUGAUGUUAAAUAGUUUGUUACUUCUAGAUUUUAAAAGAAAUCCAAAUAUCAUUUUAUAUGCUUUUAAGGGAAACUAUAAGUUAAUUGUAGUCCAAGAGCCAGAGGGAUAACCUCCUCAAAAUCAGGCUCAACUCGACUUCUUCAGGAAACUCCCUGACCUCUAGAUUUAGUUAAUAAACUCUCCUUACCUACCAUAUACUAUGAAACAAUAAAAUUUAAUUAUCAUUUUCAUUAUUACUUUGCAUUUUAUGACUUUUUUCUGCUCAUAUGUAAAUUCUGUGAAGUCAGAGAUUAUAUUGUUUGGUCCAUCCUACAAGCCCUGGGUACCUAGCUGGCUACCUUCUGGAGCAUAGAAGGCAGUUAAACAAUGUUUGUUAAAUGAAAAAGGUAGUGAAUAAAAACUUUCAACUCAUCCUUAUUUUCAUCUUUUCAAAAUUAGCCCUCUUUUCUCCAUCUUUGUAACUCAUCUAAAACUUUUCUACUCAGUCCACAGUUCCCUGAAAAUGUGAAGACCGGAAGUGAACUGUGGUGAGUGUGAUAAUGAAGCCAUUCUCAUAGGUGGUGGGGUCUGAAAUAAAUUCUACAAAUUUUAAAAGUUUCCUGCUGUGAUCUCAUCUUUAAACUGUAACGUGCUACACACUUCUCUAUUUCCCUGCACCUCGUGAUGCUCCAGAAAUACCUUUUCUGUCAUUGCUUUACACACCACAUUCCCUAGACUUUCUACCUAUUAACUACAAUGGCUUUCUUGACUUAGAGUUUAGAGCCUAGUGUUUCUUAUUGCCAUCCUGCAGGAUGUAAUUUUUUUUUUUUCCUAAAAGGGUAAAACACCAGAUAAAUGAAGAUAAAUUGUUGGCUUUGUUCCAAAACAAGCUUGUUGUUUUAGGACCCCAAACUGUCUGAAACAUCAUUAAGAAGCUGCAGGCCACCCAAGGUUGUGCAUCAAUUAGCAAUUAGGUCACACGUUGGGUGGUUGAAGGCAUUCAGCCUUUGGCCUUGUUCCUCACAGCAUACACAGGCAGGGCACCGGUACCCAAACAAUGCCCACCCUGCUGUCUCUUGUUCCUUAAUUGGGAUGACUUAGAGAUGCUAGUGUCCACAGGCAAACCCUGUCGCCCCAAUUAGGCCUCAUUAGUGGCUCUGCCAGUGGUGACCACUGCAAAGUGAUAUUUGCUCUUGGGGAUGCUUUGUGAGGUGCUCAGAGUUCCUGCAGAGAAGGAGCAGGGAUGCGCUUUCUACUCUUUCCAGGAGCAAACUCCUUCUCUCAAUUUUCUCCAGCCACUGUCAUUUUGGUUACUGUCACUCUCUGAGUCUCAGUUGUUACUACAGAGCCUAGGGUGGGUGGUAGGUGGCGAUUCUUAACACACACUCACUUAGAACUGGUCUAUGUUUCCUCCUCUCCCCCCAUCUUCCUCCCCGCUCCCAGAGAUUUUUUCCAUGAAAUACAGAAAAUGUGUUCAGAGAGAGGCUUCUGGAACCCAAAGACUACAACACCCUGAAAUGUCCCUUAAGUCAUUUUCAGCUGACUGAAAUGUGAAAAAUAGAAAAUCAUCAUCUUGAAAAAUGCAUAGGGAAUGAAGAAUGCAAUUGCAAUUGUUUUUAUUUUUCAGGUCAGGCAUAUUUCAAAAGGACCACUUCUGAGAAUGGUGCCGUGAACUCUUCACAAUGGAAAGCUGCUUAUUGACCUGACCAUGCUGUGGAGAGAGGUCCACGCCCACACUAACAGAGGACUUUCUGUACCUCUUUUAGUUCUUGCACAUUUAGUUUAAAGGGAGACACAAAGUGAUGCUUUCUUGGGGUCACUGGCACAAACCCUUCUGGGUUAUGGCGUAGUUAGAGUUUAGCCCAUGGUCCUUGCAGACAAGAGCAAUGCCGGUUAGGUCGUAGUCCCCUCUGUUGAGAUGGGGCAGGAUUGAGCAGCAAAGUGGUUAGAGCCGCCUGCUGCCAUCCUUUCAGUUCACUCAAAGAUCAUUAAAGUGCUUGCUUUAGUAUUUUUAAUUUUUUUCUUAAGAAUUGGAGGGAUUAAAAUAAAUAUACUCAAAUGAAUAAGACUGGGGACCAAGUGAUCAGUACUAGGGGGCAUUAAAAACGGUGGAUCUGAGGGUGUUCCCUUGUGGCGCAGCAGACUAAGGAUCUGGCGAGGUCACUACAGCAGCUUGGGUCACUGCUGUGGCGUGGCUCCAUCCCUGGCCAGGGAACUUUCAAAAGCCAUGGGAGUAGCCAAAAAAAAAAAA
rnacentral:lncRNA from 1 species